rnacentral:rRNA from 1 species
GAUGAACGCUGGCUACAGGCUUAACACAUGCCAGUCGAGGGGAAACGACGGGGAAGCUUGCUUCCCCGGGCGUCGACCGGCGCACGGGUGAGUAACGCGUAUCCAACCUGCCUCUGACUGAGGGAUAACCCGUCGAAAGUCGGCCUAAUACCUCAUGGCAUCGUCUGCGGGCAUCCAACGACGAUUAAAGAUUUCAUCGGUCAGAGAUGGGGAUGCGUCUGAUUAGCUUGUUGGCGGGGUAACGGCCCACCAAGGCGACGAUCAGUAGGGGUUCUGAGAGGAAGGUCCCCCACAUUGGAACUGAGACACGGUCCAAACUCCUACGGGAGGCAGCAGUGAGGAAUAUUGGUCAAUGGGCGAGAGCCUGAACCAGCCAAGUAGCGUGCAGGAUGACGGCCCUAUGGGUUGUAAACUGCUUUUAUGCGGGGAUAAAGUGAGGGACGUGUCCUUCAUUGCAGGUACCGCAUGAAUAAGGACCGGCUAAUUCCGUG